rnacentral:rRNA from 1 species
GAUGAACGCUGGCGGCGUGCUUAACACAUGCAAGUCGAACGGAAAGGCCCAAGCUUGCUUGGGUACUCGAGUGGCGAACGGGUGAGUAACACGUGGGUGAUCUGCCCUGCACUUCGGGAUAAGCCUGGGAAACUGGGUCUAAUACCGGAUAGGACCACAUUUUGGAUGGUGUGGUGGAAAGUUUUUCGGUGUGGGAUGAGCUCGCGGCCUAUCAGCUUGUCGGUGGGGUAAUGGCCUACCAAGGCGUCGACGGGUAGCCGGCCUGAGAGGGUGUACGGCCACAUUGGGACUGAGAUACGGCCCAGACUCCUACGGGAGGCAGCAGUGGGGAAUAUUGCACAAUGGGCGCAAGCCUGAUGCAGCGACGCCGCGUGGGGGAUGACGGCCUUCGGGUUGUAAACUCCUUUCGCUAGGGACGAAGCGCAAGUGACGGUACCCGGAGAAGAAGCACCGGCUAACUACGUG